ACUGUGGACUGCACAACAAAUUGUUAGUAGUAUAUGAAUUUAUUAAUUACAAAAGCAUGCAGGAUGAAGCAGUAA
rnacentral:sRNA from 12 species